AUACGGAGGAUCCGAGCGUUAUCCGGAUUUAUUGGGUUUAAAGGGUGCGCAGGCGGCCAUUUAAGUCAGCGGUUAAAUCGUGGGGCUCAACCCCAUUCUGCCGUUGAUACUGGGUGGCUUGAUUGCGGUCGAGGUUGGCGGAAUUCGUUGUGUAGCGGUGAAAUGCAUAGAUAUGACGAGGAACACCGAUUGCGUAGGCAGCUGACCAGACCGCAAAUGACGCUCAUGCACGAAAGUGCGGGGAUCGAACAGGAUUAGAUACCCUGGUAGUCCGCACAGUAAACGAUGAAUACUUGUUUUCGGCGAUAUAAUGUCGGAGGCAAAGCGAAAGCGAUAAGUAUUCCACCUGGGGAGUACGCCGGCAACGGUGAAACUCAAAUGAAUUGACGGGG
rnacentral:rRNA from 1 species